rnacentral:rRNA from 1 species
UUUUUUUUUUAGGGAUAAUUUAACAGGUUCGCUUGGUGAACAGCGGAGGGAAUCAUUACCGAAUUUGCUUUACGCAAACCCGGUGUGAACCCUUCCCCCCUCCAGGGGGGCGCGCCCGAUCGGGCCUGCUCCCGGGGGGGGUUAAUCUCCAAAAAAGAUUUCACUUACGGCGUUGCUUCGGCGGGAAGACCGCCGAACGGCGCCCAAGCCAUCUGUAUCUUUUUCAGUGUCUCUGAAUGGGCAAUUUUGAAACAAGUAAAAACUUUCAACAACGGAUCUCUUGGUUCUGGCAUCGAUGAAAGAAACGCAGCGAAAUGCGAUAAGUAAUGUGAAUUGCAGAAUUCAUGAAUCAUCGAAUCUUUGAACGCACAUUGCACCCGGCGGUAUUCCGCCGGGUAUGCCUGUUUGAGCGUCAUUUCAACCCUCUGAAACUUUGUUUUUUCAGGCGUUGAGGAUCCGCCCUGGCUAUGGCGGCGGUCCUCCAAGUACAGUGGCGAGCCCGCUGUCGUUCCCCUGCGUAGUAGAACCUUAGCUCGUCUCGCACAGGAACGCGGCCGGAGCCUCUGCCUCGCUCACCCAAAGCCUUUCAAGUUGACCUCAAAUCAGGUAGGGAUACCCGCUGAACUUAAGCAUAUCAAUAAGCGGAGGAAAAGAAACCAACAGGGAUUGCCUCAGUAACGGCGAGUGAAGCGGCAACAGCUCAAAUUUGAAAUCUGGCCCCCCCGGGUCCGAGUUGUAAUUUUGCAGAGGAUGCUUUUGGUUAGGUACCUUUCCGAGUUCCCUGGAAUUGGGACGCCCAUAGAGGGGUGAGAGCCCCCGUACGGUCGGAAUGCCGAGCCCUCUGUAUAGCUCCCCUCGACGAGUCGAGUAGUUUUGGGAAAUGCUGCUCAAAAUGGGAAGGUAAACCCCCUUUCUAAAGCUAAAUAUUGGCCAGAGACCCGAUAGCGCACAAGUAAGAGUGAUUCGAAAAGAUGAAAAGCACUUUGGAAAGAGAGUUUAAAAAGCACGUGAAAUUGUUGAAAGGGAAGCGCUUGUGACCAGACUUGCGCCUGUCAGUUCAGCCGUCCUUCUGGGCGGUGUAUUCUGUCGGCUCAGGCCAGCAUCAGUUUGUCGUUGGGGAGAAAGGCAGUGGGAAUGUGGCUCUUUCGGAAGUGUUAUAGCCCGCUGCUAUGCCCUCCGUCAGACUGAGGACCGCGCUUUGCAAGGAUGUGCUAUGAAAUGUUACAACACCCUUGAAAGGAAAAAAA